AUUGAACGCUGGCGGCAGGCCUAACACAUGCAAGUCGAAUGGUAACAGGAAACAGCUUGCUGUUUCGCUGACGAGUGGCGGACGGGUGAGUAAUGUCUGGGAAACUGCCUGAUGGAGGGGAUAACUACUGGAAACGGUAGCUAAUACCGCAUAACGUCGCAAGACCAAAGAGGGGGACCUUCGGGCCUCUUGCCAUCAGAUGUGCCCAGAUGGGAUUAGCUAGUAGGUGGGGUAACGGCUCACCUAGGCGACGAUCCCUAGCUGGUCUGAGAGGAUGACCAGCCACACUGGAACUGAGACACGGUCCAGACUCCUACGGGAGGCAGCAGUGGGGAAUAUUGCACAAUGGGCGCAAGCCUGAUGCAGCCAUGCCGCGUGUAUGAAGAAGGCCUUCGGGUUGUAAAGUACUUUCAGCGGGGAGGAAGGGAGUAAAGUUAAUACCUUUGCUCAUUGACGUUACCCGCAGAAGAAGCACCGGCUAACUCCGUG
rnacentral:rRNA from 1 species